GUAACAAGGUCUCCGUUGGUGAACCAGCGGAGGGAUCAUUACAGAGUUACUACUCCAAACCCAUUGUGAACCUUACCUAUGUUCUGUUGCCUCGGCGGCGUGGUCAGCGCCCCUCUGAAAAGAGGACGAUGCCCUCCCGCCGGCAGCACCAAACUCUUUGAAUUUUACAGCGGAUUACAGUUCUGAUUUGAAAACAAAAAAACAAGUUAAAACUUUCAACAACGGAUCUCUUGGUUCUGGCAUCGAUGAAGAACGCAGCGAAAUGCGAUAAGUAAUGUGAAUUGCAGAAUUCAGUGAAUCAUCGAAUCUUUGAACGCACAUUGCGCCCGGCAGUAAUCUGCCGGGCAUGCCUGUCCGAGCGUCAUUUCAACCCUCGAACCUCCGUUUCCUCAGGGAAGCUCAGGGUCGGUGUUGGGGCGCUACGGCGAGUCUUCGCGACCCUCCGUAGGCCCUGAAAUACAGUGGCGGUCCCGCCGCGGUUGCCUUCUGCGUAGUAAGUCUCUUUUGCAAGCUCGCAUUGGGUCCCGGCGGAGGCCUGCCGUCAAACCACCUAUAACUCCAGAUGGUUUGACCUCGGAUCAGGUAGGGUUACCCGCUGAACUUAAGCAUAUCA
rnacentral:misc_RNA from 1 species